GACAAAGCUGCUUCAGGAGGAAAAUAGCCUAAAUCAACAGAGGAGUGAUGGCUGGAAAGAGAAGCCCAUUCCGCUCUCUUUCUCCACGGACACAUACAACUCUGCUGAUUGCAGUGGACUGGGGGGGCCGUGGGAGAAACAUUGAAGGGAUGAGACAAUCUAUUUAUCCAUGGUCUCUCUGAAAAGAUAAGAUGUGCUGGGAUCGUCACUGGGACCUUGGCCAAGACUUCAACAUUAACACAAUUAUUGUUUCCACAAUUGCCCCUGGUUCCAGGAGGAACAGACUAUAAAAGGGUAUUGUUUCAUAAUUAGUUCAGAGGACACACCUCCGUCUUGCCCGUAUCAGUCAAUCCAUUUAGAGAGUGCUUAGGAGGCAAAGCUCCCUGUGGGUA